rnacentral:rRNA from 1 species
GACGAACGCUGGCGGCGUGCUUAACACAUGCAAGUCGAACGGAAAGGCCCUGCUUUUGUGGGAUGCUCGAGUGGCGAACGGGUGAGUAACACGUGAGUAACCUGCCCUUGACUUUGGGAUAACUUCAGGAAACUGGGGCUAAUACCGGAUAGGAGCUCCUGCUGCAUGGUGGGGGUUGGAAAGUUUCGGCGGUUGGGGAUGGACUCGCGGCUUAUCAGCUUGUUGGUGGGGUAGUGGCUUACCAAGGCUUUGACGGGUAGCCGGCCUGAGAGGGUGACCGGCCACCUUGGGACUGAGAUACGGCCCAGACUCCUACGGGAGGCAGCAGUGGGGAAUAUUGCACAAUGGGCGGAAGCCUGAUGAAGCAACGCCGCGUGCGGGAUGACGGCCUUCGGGUUGUAAACCGCUUUCGCCUGUGACGAAGCGUGAGUGACGGUAAUGGGUAAAGAAGCACCGGCUAACUACGUG